rnacentral:rRNA from 2 species
AAACCGGGAGAUAGCUGGUUCUCCCCGAAAGCUAUUUAGGUAGCGCCUCGUGAAUUCAUCUCCGGGGGUAGAGCACUGUUUCGGCUAGGGGGCCAUCCCGGCUUACCAACCCGAUGCAAACUGCGAAUACCGGAGAAUGUUAUCACGGGAGACACACGGCGGGUGCUAACGUCCGUCGUGAAGAGGGAAACAACCCAGACCGCCAGCUAAGGUCCCAAAGUCAUGGUUAAGUGGGAAACGAUGUGGGAAGGCCCAGACAGCCAGGAUGUUGGCUUAGAAGCAGCCAUCAUUUAAAGAAAGCGUAAUAGCUCACUGGUCGAGUCGGCCUGCGCGGAAGAUGUAACGGGGCUAAACCAU